GGGAUAGUAGUUUAAUGGUAGAAUGCACGGUUGUGGUCCGUAUGACGUAAGUUCGAUUCUUGCCUAUCCCA
rnacentral:tRNA from 1 species